GUGUUUCUAAAAAUAUGAACUUUGUCAAUGCUUUGAAAGUGCUUGUUUUACCAUUUGCUUCGCUGAGCCAGUGUUUAUUGUUUAUGUUGUUCAUGCUGCUAUGUCCAGGUAGUUUGUGCAUACGCGCCUGUGUCUUCGUUGUCUGACACCUCAUUAAUAAGGCACAGUCAUGGAUGAUUUUCUUGAUGUACCUGAUGACUGGUUAAAUCAACGCAGAAAAAGAGAUUCUGGACAUUUACAGGAAUCUUUGUCAGAUCCCACUUUGGCGUCCACACCAAAGAAAAAUAAGAAAGAUGCCAAUUACAAUGAAUCUGAAAAUCAAGGUUUGGAAGGACUCCAUGGUGAUCUGUCUCCUCAAACUAAUGGAAUAGAUGAAAGUCAUCGAACAGUUUCACCUUAUAGAGAAGAUCUUCCCGAUUUGACAAAUGGUUCAAAAAGUGAUGUUGUUGAAAAUGGAAGUGACGCUUAUGAUUUUGAAUGCUCUGCCUGUGGUGAUCACGUGAACGUGAAGAAAAAUACUGAUAAUUCAGUAAUUGAAAUUUCUUCAACUUCAGAGACUUCUCUGAGGACGCAAGAGGAUAGUUCCAUUAAUGAACCAGAUUUUCUGGGUAACACUCUACCUGCACAUAUUCCCCAUUCUCCUAAUAUUGCUGAUGUUGAAUAUGUUGAUAACAAAGAAGAAAAGAGUGAGGGGUCAGCAUCUGAACAGGCACACAGUGUUGUUGGUCUUUCACGAGUGGAUGCGUUGCCGCCAAACAAUGUUGCAGAUGUUGCAAAACAAGAUGUUCCAGAUAUGAAGAAAGUAGCAUCUGUUUUGAGAGAUGCUAAAAUUAUCUCAGGGAUUGUGUCAUAUAAAAAUCUUAAUAAUGUUUAUGAUUUGUUGUUAGACAACAGAGAGAGACCAGAUAGACUAGACUUUGUGACUUCAGUUCUUCUUGAUGGAAGUGGGAAAGGUGGUCUUGAUGAUAUUCAGAAGACUCCAGGAGUACAGUUGUUAGACAUCUUUGAAGAAGUUGAAUUGGUUAUUAAAAGUGUCUCAAACGCAGAUGCUAAUGAAGUGUAUGCACUUUUAGAGUCAGUGCCACCUUCGUCUACUCGAGUGAAAUGUGUUAUUGAGAUACUGAAGCAAAAACCGAUUCUAAUUAAAGAGAGUGAAACAAAGACUGUUCCAGUUCUACUGAAAAAAGAUUCAUCUAUUAUAGAUGAUCCUCUUCUAGCAAAUGAUCCUUUGUUCUGUGACAUGCGAACUGUUGCCAAAAUAUUUCCAGAUAAAGACAGGAAUGAGAUUUAUGCUCUGCUGGAGGCUCAUUUUGAAAAGAAAGACAGGCUGCAGACUGUGAUAGAUGAACUCAUGAUGACUUACAGAGGUGAGGACCAAAGCCAAAACUCACAAGCACAUGUGGCCCAGGCUGAAGAACCCAAUCCACCAUCAGAAGAAAGUUCGGUGGAAAGGGAUGUGGAGAAAAUGCAAACAUUGUUUCCUGACUGUGAUCCAAACUACCUGUUUGAAAGACUAGAACAGAUGGGCUCUGUGAAAAAUCGCACAGAUGUACUGGCUGCAGAACUCUUUGACCGUAAGAACUAUCCAACAUUGAAAGACCUGGAGGAAAAAGAGGAAGAAAAGACAAGGUUGGAUAAGCUGCGCAAUCUGAAAAUCACUGUUGAGGAAUUUCAACAGAAGUUUCCGGAACCAGAAAAGACUUUCGGGGAUAUUACCAAAGACCUUUCACCAUCAUACAAACAGCAUGCCGAUUUGUUCUUGAAGAAUGAGUUCCGUAUUCUUCAGGCUGGUUAUUUGAAAUCAGUUCUGGAAAGACACCAAGGACACGUGUUGCCUGCUUAUAGAGAAAUUUCCUCUGCUUUAUUAAGUAUUCCAAUAGCUGAACGUAAGCAACAUAAAAGGUUUCUCAAGAACAGACGGGGCAUUUUGUCUAUGCCCACGAUACCUGAUGAGUAUUUCUACCAUGAGAUGUGGUUUAUUCACAAUGAACAGAACAUUGCAGAUCAUGAAAACAAGAAAGUGCAGCAGAGACAAAUGAAACUGGAGGAAGCCAAAGCAAAGGGAGAGCUGUAUGAAUGCUGCUGUUGCUUUGAGGAUGAAUGUCUAUUUGAAGAUCUUGCCAGCUGUGCAGACGGCCAUUUGUUCUGUAAGACAUGUGUGUUAAGGUCCACAGAGGCUGCAUUUGGAGAAAUGAAGACAAAGUUUCCAUGUCUGACUGGAGCAUGUGACCAGCACAUAACCUUAAACACAAUCCAGUCUAUAGUGCCGAGCAACCUGUUCUCCAAAAUUAUCCGGCGCAUGCAGGAGGAGGAGGUUCAACAGGCAAACAUCCCUGAUUUAGUCAUCUGUCCAUUUUGUCCUUUUGCUACCAUCAUGUCAGAUAAGGACGACAAAGUGUUGAAGUGUCUGAAUCCUGAGUGUCUUAAAGAAUCCUGCAGACUAUGCCAAGAACCGAAUCACAUUCCUCUGAGAUGCAAUGAAGUGGAGAAGAAAGCAGAGACUAACAUGCGCACGUUUAUUGAAAAUUACAUAUCUGAGGCUGUGAUGAGGAAAUGUCACCGCUGUGGGAAACGCUUUGUUAAAGAAAAUGGUUGCAAUAAAAUGACAUGUCAUUGUGGUGCCACCAGCUGCUAUGCUUGCAAGGAGCCUGACAUAAAUUAUGACCACUUCAAUGCCAACAAAAAAUGUGCCCAGACAGAUCCCAACUGGAUACAUCAGCAGGACAUGGAAAGGGCAGCUCUGGAGGCAAAGAACAAGUAUCUGGAGGAUCACCCAGAAGCAACAGAAGUAGAAUUGAAAAAUGAUGUGGUGGACAUGAUCAAAGACUUAUACGAACCUGGUGGCAGUAGAGGCAGAAGGCAGAAAAGAGGCCGGAGAAGGAGAUGAUGGCCUAGUAUUGCGGUUAGGGUGAGCAGACAAAGACCAGACAGGAGGACCCUUUAACCCUAACAUGCGUGUUUAUGAGGAUUCUGAUGAAGAACGUGACUCCG
rnacentral:misc_RNA from 1 species